rnacentral:rRNA from 1 species
UUUGAAAUCUGGCGUCUUUGGCGUCCGAGUUGUAAUUUGAAGAAGGUAUCUUUGGGCCCGGCUCUUGUCUAUGUUCCUUGGAACAGGACGUCACAGAGGGUGAGAAUCCCGUGCGAUGAGAUGACCCGGGUCUGUGUAAAGUUCCUUCGACGAGUCGAGUUGUUUGGGAAUGCAGCUCUAAGUGGGUGGUAAAUUCCAUCUAAAGCUAAAUAUUGGCGAGAGACCGAUAGCGAACAAGUACAGUGAUGGAAAGAUGAAAAGAACUUUGAAAAGAGAGUGAAAAAGUACGUGAAAUUGUUGAAAGGGAAGGGCUUGAGAUCAGACUUGGUAUUUUGCAUGUUGCUCUCUCGGGGGCGGCCGCUGCGGUUUACCGGGCCAGCAUCGGUUUGGAGCGGCAGGAUAAUGGCGGAGGAAUGUGGCACGGCUUCUGCUGUGUGUUAUAGCCUCUGACGAUACUGCCAGCCUAGACCGAGGACUGCGGUUUUUAACCUAGGAUGUUGGCAUAAUGAUCUUAAGUCGCCCGUCUUGAAACACGGACCAAGGAGUCUAACGUCUAUGCGAGUGUUUGGGUGUAAAACCCGUACGCGUAAUGAAAGUGAACGAAGGUGGGGGCCCAUUAGGGUGCACCAUCGACCGAUCCUGAUGUGUUCGGAUGGAUUUGAGUAAGAGCAUAGCUGUUGGGACCCGAAAGAUGGUGAACUAUGCCUGAAUAGGGUGAAGCCAGAGGAAACUCUGGUGGAGGCUCGUAGCGGUUCUGACGU